rnacentral:rRNA from 1 species
UACAGAGGUCUCAACCGUUGUUCGGAUUCAUUGGGCGUAAAGCGUGCGCAGGCGGUUCGACAAGUCUGUUGUGAAAGCCCUGGGCUCAACCUGGGAACUGCAGUGGAUACUGGCGAGCUAGAGUACGGUAGAGGAAGGUGGAAUUCCCGGUGUAGCGGUGAAAUGCGUAGAGAUCGGGAGGAACACCAGUGGCGAAGGCGGCCUUCUGGACCAGUACUGACGCUGAGGCACGAAAGCGUGGGGAGCAAACAGG